AGAGAAGAGAAACCAAAGAAGAACAAACCCUAGGUGGGAAAAAUCAAAGAGAAAGUGUUGGAAUUCAAGGAUUUGAUCAAGCAAAGGUAAAAUUUCUUUGAUUUUGCUAGUGAUUUACCUUUCCCAUGCAUUUCUCCUCAUUUUCCAUGGUUACAUUACAUGUUUUCAUGAUGAAUUCAUGGCUGGUUGGAAUGGAUAUGGAGAGAGAAUGAUGUUAGAUUGAUUUGAUUAUAAGUUAUGUUAGUGUUUUUAGUUAGUUAAGCAUGCUUAGAAACAAAACAACAAGAAAAGAAUCCAUUUUCCCCAUGAACCUUCAAUGGUUGAACCCUAUGUGAAGUGUAGAAGUAAUGAAUUGAUUUUGUGAUCAAGUGAAUUGGUUGAAAAAUUUAUGAAAUGAUGAUUUAUUGUGAGAAAAUGGAAUGGAAAAAUUUUUAGUGACAGUGCACCACAAUGGCCGAAAUUUUCAAGAAGAAUUGUGAGGGUUGUUAGGCUGAAUUUUAGAUUAUUGGAAUUGUAUUUAGUGAAUUGAAAUAUUAGAAAUGAAUGGAGCAAUUUGGAGCCAAAUCGGACACAAUUGUCAUUUAAUCAGGUAAUAGGCCAAAUUAGGUCAGCACCGCAUUUAAGCAGUAGUCGGAUAAGUUGCAUAUCAUAUCAUGCAUAUACAUCGAUCCUGAAUUGAUUUUAUAAUUGUCAAGCAUUCAUGUGGUGAAUUAUGUAUUGUACAUUGUGGAUAGGUGGUAAGUAAAUUACACUGGUAAAAGUACAGAGAUUGUGCUUGGAGACUGUGCUUAGGAGUACAUCGACUCCUAGAACUGUGAGUAAACUUAUUAUCGUCUUAAUUAUCUAAAGUAAUUUUAUACAAUUGUGUGAUUUAAUAGAAAAAGGGUUUAAAUGGUAAAUUGCUAUGUUUUAGAAGAAAUUGUGAUUUUAUGAAAUGAUUUUAUAAAUUUUUUUGAAAAUUGAAUACUGGUUUUGAAAAUAGAGUAAUUGGAGACUGCUUGUUUGUGUUGUAAAUUUAUGGUUUUAAAUUGAAUGGCUUAUGACAAUAUAUGAGCAUGAAUGGCUAAACUGAUUUUUAGUGUUAGAAUUAUUUGUACUGUGUAUUCAGCCUUGAGAGGCUAGGUUACGAUAAAUUGCCAUGUCAUGAAGAAAAAGAUUUUAUAAAUUAGGUGGUAGAUAAAAUAAUCUAUAGUCACUGCAGUGGUGGGGGUUUCCGUGAACUGCCUAUGAGAGGGGCACGGUAACCCAAUUAUAUAUUUACCUCCGGGGGGAGAUGUUGGAUGAAGUAUCUCCUGAGGUAAAGAUUUGAGUGCACUUCACGUGGACCACCGCGUGAGAGUAAGACUCAGCCAACGCCAAGGCAUGGCUAAAAUUUUAGAUGUAAAGACAUUUAACAGCCUUAGCAAACUCGAUUGGGAUAACCCUCGAUCAAGGUAUCCCUGAUAACUGAGUAUGAGAAUGAUUUUUGG
rnacentral:lncRNA from 1 species